CAACAUUAAGGAUGGAAAUAACCAGAGAAGGUUAUUUCUGCCAGGUGGCUGUUGAGUGGCAUAACACGCUGAUUGGCAGUGAGGGGAAAAGCGUGCUCCCCUCUGCACCUUCCUGUUUCAGGUGAUGUCGUGAGGUGUGUGUGACUGACUGGGGGUAUGUCAGGCGUGGUGGGAGCAGCAUCCAGCCUGGUCAAUCUCAGCUGAAGUUUGUCCUCCUCAGCCUGUUCCUGCCUCCUCAUCACUGUUUGAGCCGGAGGAUGCGAUGUUCUCAAGCCUGCAUGGUAUUGCCACUGGUGUGAUCAUCCUUUAACUCAUUUUUCUCAAAAUGAGCCUGCUUAUUUUAAGCAAUUUAAGCAGGGAAUUGCCAACGAUGCUUAUUUUGGCUGUACAGGUGAGGAGAAAACAACUGAGUGAGCCAGUCUCGGGGUCCAGUACCUCUGGCAGGAGGGCAGUGACAAGAAGAGAUGUAAGGCAAGUCUUCAGGGGAUAUGUCCAUUGACCAUAAGACAUUUGGGGUCCCCAGCCAAGCGCUUCUCCCUAGAUUAUUGCCAGCAUGACUACAGACACAGAAGAGAACUGCCUGGAGCUGGGAAGAGAAGCAAGGAGGGAGGAAGGAAGGAAGCUUAUACAAAAUAAGAUUAAAUUUGCUUGGCUUUCCCUGAAAUGCCACCCAGUAUUUGGUAAAGAAAGACUUUACUUCAGCCUACCUUUCCACUGUCUUCAGCUUCCUAAAGCAGAGGCAGCGUACUUUAAAAGUGCAUACUGUAUCUUUACAGGUCUCCACUAAAGUAGUCAGUGGAUGUAUCAGUGAGACUCAUUUUAUUGUUAAUUUAUCUUCUUGAUGCACAAUAUCAGACUCCAUUUUCAUUGACUGAAUAACCAUGGAGUCAUUAUGAAGGCAAUAAGAACUGAGUUACUAGCCUUGGAAGUGAUUACUGCUAGAUUUUUGCCUCUUAAGCCUCCAAACAGGAUGUUGCAUUAUUAUAUGCAAUUCUCUUCCCUGAUGUACUGUCUGAGCAUUGGCUAGACUAUCAUGUACCACUCUGAUUCAUGCAGAACACUUAAUCUCAGUGGAGCCAGAGUAAGUAUACAUGAGCUCGUAAAUGACAUUUUACAUUGCCAUGCUCUCUCUCUCUCUCUUUUUUUUUUUUUUUUUUUUUUAAUGUGGAGCUCUCUGUCUUGAUGAAAUACUACUUAUCGCAAACCAGGGGCCUGAUUGCUAGAUGCUACUAAGUCAUCACAUCCUACCUAGAACCCCUACCUGCCUGUUUUUUCAGGGUAGGUGUUACAGAUCCUGAGAUCCUGUUAAAUAUGAUUGGUUUCUAACAGUUGUGUAUGCCUCUCCCUCAGGAACCUGAAUGAUAGGCACAGCCACAAAUUGAGCAUUGGGGUGUUAAUCCCCAAAGUUGACUUUUCACAGCUGUUUUGAAGCUGAGAUGGUGGUCUUUUGGCCCAGUUCUGUGAAUUACAGAACCUAUACCAUGGCUUACACAUGUAAUUUCCUUUGGAAAAUAAAUACCUGCUUUUGAAAAUACCUCGUUUCUGCAUUUUCAGGUAAGGAAAUGUGGUAGCUGCCAGUCAGCCAGGGCUUCCCCUUGCUUACCACAUUUGUCAGCCUGAGCCUCACGCGAGGUACAGCAGCCAUCUGAAUGCGGCAGCACAAAGCCAGCUGGCAGCAUUUUGUGCAUUGGGCUAGUGAGCAGCAGGAUUCUCUUUACUCGUGUGAUGCUCUUAUCUUUCUUGUUUCAAUGUUUAUAUUGGAGCAGUGUGCAGAGAAAUGAAGAAGAAAUGAGCUGCUCCACAGAGAUUUAUGAAGAAAUUGUCGCAACUCUUAAUGCCCUUUCCUGCUCCACUGGUACAAACUGUGCUACAGCGCAGCAAAGAACUGAAUGUUUUCAAAAGCAAGCGCACAAGGAAACCUGGCUUUUCAGCCUCACAGAGUGCUUGCUUGGGAGGGAGGGAGAGAGAGAAAAAGCAAGGAGGAUUUCUAAGGCUGUGUCAGUACUGUACUUUAAGGAAUCAUUGAAUAAAGCACCUCACAUACA